GACACCUGGAGCCACUUUAUUGACCAAGAUAGAAGCUAUACCUUAUAUCGUUCUUUCCAGCGACUUCUAGAGAUUAAGUUUUCAAGACGAGGUUGAAUAAAGCGAUCAUCCAAAUAAUGGAGUGAAGUUAGCAUUUCUUGUGCAUAUCUCUUUUGCCUUGUUCCAUCUGUUCAAAGAAAGAGCCACUAUAAUACAAUAUAUGAUGUUCAGUGAAUGUAUGCGUUUCUUCCAGCCAUGAAAUCUUCAGGGAGAUGAUGAGUCUACACACUCAAAAGCAUCCAUAUAAUUAUUUACUGACUGAAGAACAUUAACCUCAAUGAUUAUUAGGGAUAUUUACAAUAAAAUCUGUUGUCCUUGAAAGCUACACAAAUCAUUAAAAUUAACUUUGGUAUAUUCAUAAAGACACCUGUCCACAGCAGGUGCUGCACAAUAUUAAAAAAAGUAGAAUAGAAAUAAAAACUCAAAAUAUGAAUGAACUGCCCAAUCAAAGAUCACUCAAUCUGAGAACAGUUAAUCUCAAAAUAUAACCACUCACACUUAUCAAAAGUCUGAAAAAACCAGACGCUCCUGUCCUUUUCCCUACAACAUCUGUAAUGUAAUUGCUUAAUGAACUAUAUUUAUACAAACCCUCUAAGUUAAUUCCUUGACAAAAAGCUAUGUGAAGAGGCAGUUAGGGUUGGGAGUACAUGAUAGUAACAUUACAGUAUUGUAAUUAACCCCAGAACAUUUACUACAAACAAAGGAAAUCAAAAUAUUACAUAAAAAAGAAGUUCAAAUACAUUAAGCAUAUAAACAAACAAUCUCAACUUUCCAUUCAUAGUGAUGUCAUACUAAAAUGUAUGAAUCAUUAUUCUAUCUGUGGUCACAGAUUAGAUUACAAUGGAUUUUUAAAACACACAGAUUUCCCCCCCACCCAAUUCUCUUUCUCAAUGAUAACAUCACAGAACAAAUUAAAGUUGGAUACCACUGGUCUAUAUAAUCAUAUCUUUACUGAUUUUUAUACAUAAUUAUCUUAAUUACAACUAAUUUCCUCAAACAUAGCAUAUUUGCAAUAUUUCAGUAAUUUUUAACUAUGUGGAAAGUUUGAAGAAAUAGUGCCUGUUAGUUCAGGACAAAAAAGUGUGACACUGUGCUAAAAUGGGUCAUUUAAAAAUAUUUUUAACUCUAAUUAAUAGAUUUACGUGUAAGUCCUCUUUGGAAGAUGUUGAGUGUGACGAAUAUAGAGUAAUUCAAAGAUUCAUAGAUUCCAAGGCCAAAAGGGACCACUGUGAUCAUCCAGUUUGACCUGUAUAGCACAGGCCACAGACCUUCCCCAAAGUAAUUCCUUGAGCAUAUCCUUUUAGAAAAACAUCCCAUUUUGAUUUAAAAGUGGCCAGUGAUGUAAAUGUUCCAAUGGUUAAUUACUCUCAGUUAAAAAUGUGCACCUUAAUUCCAGUCUUCAUUUGAUCAUGUUAUACCUUUCUCUACUAAAUUGAAGAGCCAAUUAUUAAAUGUGUUCCUGAGGCAGAUUGUAGUCAAGUUACCCUUAACUUUCUCUUUGUUAAACUAAAGAGACUUACUACCCUGAGUCUACAUCACUGUAAGGCAUGAUUUCUAAUCCUUUCAUCAUUCUUGUGGCUCUUCUUUGAACCCUCUUAAAUUUAUCAACUUCCUUCUUGAUUUGUGAAUGCCACAAUUGGACACAAUAUUCCAGCAGCAGUUGCACCAGUGCCAAAUAUAGAAAUAAAAAAUUCUCUGCUCCUAACUCAAGAGUCUUCUGUUUAUGCAUCCAAGGAUUGCAUUAGCCCUUUUGGUCACAGCAUUGCACUGGGAGCUCCCAUUCAGCUGGUUAUCCACCACAACCCCCAAGUCUUUUUCAGAGUAAUUGCUUUCCAGGAUAGACUCCUCCAUCCUACAUUCUUUGUUCCUAGACAUAUAAAUUCACAUUUAGCCAUAUUAAAGUCCGUAUUGUUUGCUUGCACCUAGCUUACCGAGCGAUCCAGAUUGCUCUGUAUCAGUGAUCUGUCCUCUGUUUACCAAAGUUUACCAAAACUGUCCUCCAGUUUUAUGUCAACUGCAAAUCUGAUCAGUGAUUUUUUGUUUUCUUCCAGAUCAUUGAUACAAAUCUUAAAUAGCACAAGGCCAAGAACCAACCCCUAGAGGACAUGUACUCUAUGAUGAUUCCCUGUUUAUAAUUACAUUUUGAAGCAGUUUUUAAUCCAUUUAAUGUGUGCUAUGUUAAUUUUAUAUUGUUCUAGCUUUGUAAUCAAAAUGUCAUGCAGUCAAGUAUCAAGUAUAUUACAAACAACAGUACUACUUUGACCAACCAAACUUGUAAUCUUAUCCAAAAAAGAUGUCAAGUUAGUUUGGCACAAACUAUUUCCCAUAAAUCCACGUUGAGUGGCAUUAAUCAUAUUUAAUAUAAUUCUUUAUUAAUCAAGCCUCAUAUCAGCUGCAUCAAAGGACAAAUCCCUGAUACAGAGAGGAACUCAUCCAGAUUUCAAAAUACUUUCCAAACCUUAAAGAAUUAAGCCCUACAGCACUCUUUUUAGGGUUUGUCCACAGUGACUUUGUACAGCGCAUUAGCCUGUUGCACACUUUCACACCCUGGCUCCACUGUGAUGCACAAAACUCCACCAAAUCCUGUAGGAACCUAAACUGAAUUGGUGUCUAAGUUUUCCCUAGGUGCCCAUGUUUCCCCCUCUGAGCAUGUGCACUGCUACCUCCCUCUAAGCUUCUGAACACUUAUCUCCCAGCAUAAGCGCAAGAGCAAUUCACAAAUGGGGAAAGACAGAUAUUGGUCCACUUAAGUCUCGUGUGGGACCCUAAAAGUUAGGCAUUGUAACCUGAGCAUCAUGGCACCUAUGGGCAGAUCUACACUUCAAUGCAGCUGUGCCGCUAUAAUGCUUUAAUGAAGACACUUUAAACCAAUGGGAGAGCUCUCCUGUCAGUUUAGUUCACCCACCUCCGUGCAAGGUGGUUGCUAUGUUGGCAGGAGAAGCUCACCUGCUGACAUAGCACCGUCUACACCAGCGCUUAGGUCAGUACAACUAUGUCGCUCGGGGGCAUGGAUUAUUCAUGCCCCAAGUGACGUAGUUAUACCAAAGUAAUUCUGUAGUGUAGACCAGGGCUAAAUCCCUUCGUGGAUCCCACCCAGAGGCUUUGUCUACAUUGACAACUGAACAAAACUAUUUGUCAUUCAGAGGU